rnacentral:rRNA from 1 species
AGAGUUUGAUCCUGGCUCAGAAUCAACGCUGGCGGCGUGCCUAACACAUGCAAGUCGAACGCGAAAGCUCCGCAAGGGGCAAGUAGAGUGGCAAACGGGUGAGUAACACGUGGGUGACCUGCCUUCGAGCGGGGGAUAACGUCCCGAAAGGGACGCUAAUACCGCAUAACAUCCUGCCUUUGAAGAGGCGGAGAUCAAAGCCGGGGAUCGCAAGACCUGGCACUCGGAGAGGGGCCCGCGCCUGAUUAGCUAGUUGGUGGGGUAACGGCCUACCAAGGCAACGAUCAGUAUCCGGCCUGAGAGGGCGGACGGACACACUGGGACUGAGACACGGCCCAGACUCCUACGGGAGGCAGCAGUGGGGAAUUGUUCGCAAUGGGCGCAAGCCUGACGACGCAACGCCGCGUGGAGGAUGAAGAUCUUCGGGUCGUAAACUCCUGUCGAAUGGGACGAAAGGGUUGCGGGUGAACAGCCCGCGACAUGACGGUACCGUAAAGA